UACAGGGGGGGCAAGCGUUGUUCGGAAUUACUGGGCGUAAAGCGCACGUAGGCGGCUUUCUAAGUCGGGGGUGAAAUCCUGGAGCUCAACUCCAGAACUGCCUUCGAUACUGGAGAGCUUGAGUCCGGGAGAGGUGAGUGGAACUGCGAGUGUAGAGGUGAAAUUCGUAGAUAUUCGCAAGAACACCAGUGGCGAAGGCGGCUCACUGGCCCGGUACUGACGCUGAGGUGCGAAAGCGUGGGGAGCAAACAGG
rnacentral:rRNA from 1 species